rnacentral:rRNA from 1 species
UACGGGGGGGGCUAGCGUUGUUCGGAAUUACUGGGCGUAAAGGGCGCGUAGGCGGCUUGUACAGUCAGACGUGAAAUUCCUGGGCUCAACCUGGGGGCUGCGUUUGAUACGUGCGGGCUUGAGUUCGGAAGAGGGUCGUGGAAUUCCCAGUGUAGAGGUGAAAUUCGUAGAUAUUGGGAAGAACACCGGUGGCGAAGGCGGGUCUCUGGGCCGAUACUGACGCUGAGGAGCGAAAGCGUGGGGAGCGAACAGG